GCUAAACGCGAAGAACCUUACCCAGGCUUGACAUGCAGUAGACAGCGCUAGAGAUAGCGCCUUCCUUCGGGACUGCUGCACAGGUGCUGCAUGGCUGUCGUCAGCUCGUGCCGUGAGGUGUUGGGUUAAGUCCCGCAACGAGCGCAACCCUUAUCGUUAGUUGCCAACAUUUUAGGUGGGAACUCUAGCGAGACUGCCCGGGGUUAACCGGGAGGAAGGUGAGGAUGACGUCAAGUCCGCAUGGCCCUUAUGCCUGGGGCUACACACGUGCUACAAUGGUCGGUACAAAAGGCAGCCAAACCGCGAGGUGGAGCAAAUCCCAAAAAGCCGGCCCCAGUUCAGAUUGUAGUCUGCAACUCGACUACAUGAAGAUGGAAUUGCUAGUAAUGGCGAGUCAGCAACAUCGCCGUGAAUCCGUUCCCGGGUCUUGUACA
rnacentral:rRNA from 1 species